CAAAUUCUGGAGAAAUUAUUCAAAGUAGUCCUAAACUGUUCAUCCUAUCCUGCCUUACCCUUCUCUCAGAAACCCCAACAAAGGCCAUGCCUUACAACUUACCUUGCUCCUGUUUCUGCCUCCUGACCACUCUGGUCUUCCCCAUGUUGCCAUGUAUGGCAUGCCUCCUGUCUCUAGGACCGAUGCAGCAAAAGAGAAAAACAAUGAAAGUCUGUAUUAGUAACCAGAAAAACGGUCAGAAGUCUGAGGUACCUGAGAGAAGACAGCAAAAUGAGAUCUGGAAUUUGAGGAGCACCUGUUAGGAGAAGAGCCAUCUCUACUGUAAGCACAAGCAACACAGAGGGAGUGGGGAUGUCAGGAGGGUAUCCCAAGGACAACAUACAGGAUUUUGUCAUAUUCUUCCUCCAAAGAUCACAGAAAACUUGUGAUCCAUAUCCACUAUUUUUUGUUCCAAGUCUCUGAUAAGCAAGUCAUCCAAUCCAUGUUAAAACAGGCUGGAUUCUUGCAUCAUAAGACGUUAAUUUAUAUUUUUACAAGAUCCUUUUAGCUGGACUCCCCAAAAGAUUCCCUGUUCUAGUUGGCCUUCUAUAUUGGUGGUUUCUGAAUACAUACCCCAAAGAACCUGAGCAUCAGUGAAUUCUGGUAUCUUCUGGGAGCCCUGGAACUAAUCUCUUGAAGAUACCAACGGAUGACUGUGUUUUAAAAGGUAAGUGGAUUAGGAUAUUGACGGUGAUCAUUUUGCAUAAUUUUUUUCAUAAUGUUGGGCUUCCAAACAAAAGAUUAAAAGGCGAGAGAGAGAUGUCACUCAGGACU
rnacentral:lncRNA from 1 species